rnacentral:piRNA from 1 species
UAUAAGAGAUAAAACCAUAGC